UGCGUAGGCGGGCUAAUAAGUCAGUGGUGAAAUCUCUCGGCUCAACCGGGAAACUGCCAUUGAUACUGUUAGUCUUGAGUUCGGUUGACGUAGGCGGAAUGUGUAAUGUAGCGGUGAAAUGUUUAGAUAUUACACAGAACACCAAUUGCGUAGGCAGCUUACUAGACCGACACUGACGCUGAGGCACGAAAGCGUGGGGAGCGAACAGGAUUAGAUACCCUGGUAGUCC
rnacentral:rRNA from 1 species